rnacentral:rRNA from 1 species
AGGACGAACGUUGGCGGUGCGCUUAAUGCAUGCAAGUCGAGGGAGAACCAGUCGUUCCGUAAGGCACGGCUGGGGAAACCGGCGAACGGGUGCGUAACACGUGAGGAACCUGCCCCGAAGACCGGGAUAGCCCGGGGAAACCCGGAUUAAUACCGGAUACCCUCUUUGGACCACAUGGUCUACUGAGGAAAUGGUCUGCCGCUUCGGGAUGGCCUCGCGGCCUAUCAGCUUGUUGGUGAGGUAAUGGCUCACCAAGGCAGAGACGGGUAGCUGGUCUGAGAGGACGAUCAGCCACACUGGGACUGAGACACGGCCCAGACUCCUACGGGAGGCAGCAGCAGGGAAUAUUGCACAAUGGGCGAAAGCCUGAUGCAGCGACACCGCGUGCGGGAUGAAGGCCUUCGGGUUGUAAACCGCUUUCAGGAGGGACGAAAAUGACGGUACCUCCAGAAGAAGGCCCGGCCAACUACGUGCCAGCAGCCGCGGUAAUACGUAGGGGCCAAACGUUGUCCGGAUUUAUUGGGCGUAAAGGGCUCGUAGGCGGUUCAACAAGUCGGUCGUGAAAACCCGGGGCUCAACCCCGGGACGCCGGUCGAAACUGUUGUGACUAGGGUCCCGGUAGAGGUGAGUGGAAUUCUCGGUGUAGCGGUGGAAUGC